AAGAGAAUCACGCUUUAAGGUAGACAACAAAGAUGAACCACUGGUUGAUGCUUAUGAUGUGCUGCCGAGGUUGAGAAGAAGAAAUUCAGAAACAUUUAGGACGCAAUAUAUCAACAUAAAAGAACUCAGAAUAUGUGUUGGGACUUGGAAUGUUGGAGGAAAACUACCUCCUGAAGAUCUAGAUAUUGAUGGCUGGAUAGAUACCAACGAG
rnacentral:misc_RNA from 1 species